rnacentral:rRNA from 1 species
AUGAACGCUGGCGGCGUGCCUCAUACAUGCCAGUCGAGCGCACGGACGAGAAGCUUGCUUCUCUGAUGUUAGCGGCGGACGGGUGAGUAACACGUGGAUAACCUACCUAUAAGACUGGGAUAACUUCGGGAAACCGUAGCUAAUACCGGAUAAUAUUUUGAACCGCAUGGUUCAAAAGUGAAAGACGGUCUUGCUGUCACUUAUAGAUGGAUCCGCGCUGCAUUAGCUAGUUGGUAAGGUAACGGCUUACCAAGGCAACGAUGCAUAGCCGACCUGAGAGGGUGAUCGGCCACACUGGAACUGAGACACGGUCCAGACUCCUACGGGAGGCAGCAGUAGGGAAUCUUCCGCAAUGGGCGAAAGCCUGACGGAGCAACGCCGCGUGAGUGAUGAAGGUCUUCGGAUCGUAAAACUCUGUUAUUAGGGAAGAACAUAUGUGUAAGUAACUGUGCACAUCUUGACGGUACCUAAUCAGAAAGCCACGGCUAACUACGUG